AUCUGUACGUGUGGUAACACUGAUCGCAACCAAUGAGGUUUUACCUAGGUGCGAUUAUUGCUAGUUGAGAAAAUAUCCUAUUUAAUAGCGUAUCGUGUUUUCUACAAGGAAUUUGGAUUUGCAUUUUUUUCCGAUAAUGGU